AUUGAACGCUGGCGGCAUGCUUUACACAUGCAAGUCGAACGGCAGCGCGGGCUUCGGCCUGGCGGCGAGUGGCGAACGGGUGAGUAAUGCAUCGGAACGUGCCCAGUAGUGGGGGAUAGCCCGGCGAAAGCCGGAUUAAUACCGCAUACGACCUGAGGGUGAAAGCGGGGGACCGAAAGGCCUCGCGCUAUUGGAUCGGCCGAUGUCGGAUUAGCUAGUUGGUGGGGUAAAGGCUUACCAAGGCGACGAUCCGUAGCUGGUCUGAGAGGACGACCAGCCACACUGGAACUGAGACACGGCCCAGACUCCUACGGGAGGCAGCAGUGGGGAAUUUUGGACAAUGGGGGCAACCCUGAUCCAGCCAUGCCGCGUGCGGGAAGAAGGCCUUCGGGUUGUAAACCGCUUUUGUUCGGGAAGAACUCCUCUGGGCUAAUACCCCGGGGGGAUGACGGUACCGGAAGAAUAAGCACCGGCUAACUACGUG
rnacentral:rRNA from 1 species